UACGUAGGGUGCAAGCGUUAAUCGGAAUUACUGGGCGUAAAGCGUGCGCAGGCGGUUUUGUAAGUCUGUCGUGAAAUCCCCGGGCUCAACCUGGGAAUUGCGAUGGAGACUGCAAGGCUAGAAUCUGGCAGAGGGGGGGUAGAAUUCCACGUGUAGCAGUGAAAUGCGUAGAGAUGUGGAGGAACACCGAUGGCGAAGGCAGCCCCCUGGGUCAAGAUUGACGCUCAUGCACGAAAGGCGUGGG
rnacentral:rRNA from 1 species